GCAGGCUGCAACUCGCCUGCGUGAAGUUGGAAUUGCUAGUAAUCGCGGAUCAGCAUGCCGCGGUGAAUACGUUCCCGGGCCUUGUACACACCGCCCGUCACACCAUGGGAGUUUGUAACACCCGAAGUCAGUAUCCUAACCGCAAAGGGGGGGAGCUGCCGAAGGUGGGACAAGCGACUGGGGUGAAGUCGUAACAAGGUACC
rnacentral:rRNA from 1 species